rnacentral:rRNA from 1 species
GACGAACGCUGGCGGCGUGCCUAAUACAUGCAAGUAGAACGCACAGUUUAUACCGUAGCUUGCUACACCAUAAACUGUGAGUUGCGAACGGGUGAGUAACGCGUAGGUAACCUGCCUGGUAGCGGGGGAUAACUAUUGGAAACGAUAGCUAAUACCUCAUAAUAUUGAUUAUUGCAUGAUAAUUGAUUGAAAGAUGCUAUUGCAUCACUACAAGAUGGACCUGCGUUGUAUUAGCUAGUAGGUGAGGUAACGGCUCACCUAGGCGACGAUACAUAGCCGACCUGAGAGGGGGAUCGGCCACACUGGGACUGGGACACGGCCCAGACGCCUACGGGAGGCAGCAGUAGGGAAUCUUCGGCAAUGGACGAAAGUCUGACCGAGCAACGCCGCGUGAGGGAAGAAGGUUGUCGGAUCGUAAAGAUCUGUUGUAAGAGAAGAACGGGUGUGAGAGUGGAAAGUUCACACUGUGACGGUAUCUUACCAGAAAGGGACGGCUAACUACGUG